rnacentral:rRNA from 1 species
UACGGGGGGGGCAAGCGUUGUUCGGAAUUACUGGGCGUAAAGGGCUCGUAGGCGGCCAACUAAGUCAUACGUGAAAUCCCUGAGCUUAACUGGGGAACUGCGUGUGAUACUGGAUGGCUUGGAUUUGGGAGAGGGAUGCGGAAUUCCAGGUGUAGCGGUGAAAUGCGUAGAUAUCUGGAGGAACACCGGUGGCGAAGGCGGCAUCCUGGACCAAUAUUGACGCUGAGGAGCGAAAGCCAGGGGAGCAAACGGG